UACGUAGGGGGCAAGCGUUGUCCGGAAUUAUUGGGCGUAAAGAGCUCGUAGGCGGUUUGUCGCGUCUGCUGUGAAAACUCGAGGCUCAACCUCGGGCUUGCAGUGGGUACGGGCAGACUAGAGUGCGGUAGGGGUGACUGGAAUUCCUGGUGUAGCGGUGGAAUGCGCAGAUAUCGGGAGGAAUACCAGUGGCGAAAGCGGCACCCUGGCGUCGUACUGACGCACAUGUGCGAAAGCGUGGGGAGCGAACGGG
rnacentral:rRNA from 1 species